GACAUUAAAGUAUGUUUUCAGCAUUUUGGUCUUCGGAAUUACACAUAAUCACCACAUACUGCAAGGCAAAGUGUGCUGUCGAAAGAAAACAACAUCAGUGGUUUGAUUCGUUCUAUUUGAAGACCCUGGGAUACCAUCUCAUAGAGAGAGGAGGCUUGGCACACUCUCAUCGUUCAGGUGAGCACCUGAACAUAAAUCUGAAUAUGUUUUUUUGUAAAUACAUUUGGAUACAGGCUGUUG
ensembl:lincRNA